ensembl:lncRNA
AGGUAACUUGCUGCUGCUUGAUGCCAUGGUUCAUAGCACUCUAAGCAACGUGCUCCAGGGUAGUGUGGAAUUAACAUCUGAGAGACUGAGAUGAUGAUAUCCCUGUAGAUCCUGACUUCACUCUGAACCUGACCUGCUUCAGUCUGAACGUCUCUGGUAUUUUGCAGAGCACGCUGCUGAGAUCACCCUUCUGGCAAAUGCCUGCUGUGGUAUGAGACCCAGUCAUCUGGCAGCACAUUGCUUACUGCAGUCUCCACGGCAACCCUCCAUGCUGUUCUUCUUUGGAAGCUCUGCACAUUCGUAAAGAAGCUGUCAUCCCUCUUACUGGUCAUCAACAUACAGCAAGAGACUCUCCUCUUCUUGGAGGAAGCCCAAGCCGCCAUCUCAGAAGAGUGGCUGAACCAUAUAACAGCUGAAGCUAAAACAAGGAGAUGAGACCUAUGCUGCCCAGUGCACCCAUGUUCUGAGGAGCCCCAGUCCAGGAGCAUCAGCUAGGUUGGAGCUGCUGAUCACAGAAACUGAGGAGGACCAAUGUAUUUGGUAGUGCAGUGAGCCUACAGCCAUCCAAAGCAAGCUGGAGAAUGCAUGCUGGGGAAACAAAUCAGCAAGCAGGCAGUGGCAUGUGAAGAGAGUCCCUCUGCUGGCACAGAAGUGAUUGCAGAGCAAUAAUACAAAUCACAAUACCAGUAUGUGUAAAG